GCUUCAUGGUAAGGUAAACCAUCAUUACAUCUGAGUGCAUCAGGCCACAGAACUAAUGAAUACUUGGUGCUCAGUCCAGGAUGAAUUGGGGACAGCAAGAGUAUUUACAUAAAGACACUUGUGAAGAGUCGAUAAGCAACAUCUGCAAAGACCAUCUUUGAUAAAGAACUUGUGUGUCACACAUGCUAGCCAGCCAGAUCAGAAAACAAGAGAGUUCCAAAUGGACUAAGUAAUCUGCUCAGAAUUUGAACAGCGUUGAAUCCUGUGGUGAACAUGGUUACCCCGUUGGCAAGCAUUUGUGAUCUUGUACUGGAUAGUAACUAAUCCUUGGGGAUUUGUCUUCCUUUUCUACAGAGAACGUUGAGUACAUACCAGAAGACAGUGGUAUUCUGUAACUUAGAGGAAUGGAGCUUGAAAGUAUUGGACCUCUAGACUUGUCUGUACAUAAUCUUCUGCAAAAACAACCUACGUGUGAUCUGGGAAGGAGCCUAUUGGCCAAUGUUUCCACUCACUCUAACAGCAAGAUUCCCUCCCUGAAGGUCUCCCGUGAUCAAUUCAUCUUUCUCUGACAAUGUGGUGACAACAUUUGCAAUAGGGAGGACCUGAGACGUGGCUUUCAGAGACCUCAGGUGAAAUCCCAGUUCCUUAAUACAACAUGUAUUCUUCGCCUGACAGCCGACUUUCUUUCUGAUGCCUCUGGCUACCACUGACAAGAAGAGGACUGUGAAUUGUCUGAGGGAAAUUUAUUGCUCAGGCACAUCUAAACUGAGGUGUGACCACAGUUACCACAGGGGAAGCUCCUGUUCAUCAACUGAGCAGAUGAAGACCUGGAAAUGAUUUCCUCUACUACCAGAGUGAAGUAACAGACAGUUUCUGACUGAAAAUUCGUGGUAGCUUGUAAGACUAAGAGAAUAGUUUUGUUAAAACUGUCUCUUAAAUAAAAAAUGAAUUUUGGUA